rnacentral:rRNA from 1 species
CGGGUGAGUAACGCGUGGGUAACCUGCCUUGUACAGGGGGAUAACAGUUGGAAACGGCUGCUAAUACCGCAUAAGCGCACGGCAUCGCAUGAUGCAGUGUGAAAAACUCCGGUGGUAUAAGAUGGACCCGCGUUGGAUUAGCUAGUUGGUGAGGUAACGGCCCACCAAGGCGACGAUCCAUAGCCGACCUGAGAGGGUGAACGGCCACAUUGGGACUGAGACACGGCCCAG